rnacentral:rRNA from 1 species
CGGAGACCUUGCAUGAGAAACGGCUACCACUUCUAAGGAAGGCAGCAGGCGCGCAAAUUACCCAAUCCUGACUCAGGGAGGUAGUGACAAGAAAUAACAAUAAACCGGCUUAUGCCGGUUUAAUUGGAAUGAGUACAAUUUAAACAUCUUAACGAGGAACAAUUGGAGGGCAAGUCUGGUGCCAGCAGCCGCGGUAAUUCCAGCUCCAAUAGCGUAUACUAAAGUUGUUGCAGUUAAAAAGCUCGUAGUUGGAUCUCUGCGGGGACGGAGCGGCCGGUCGCAACUUGCGACUCGAGCUAGCGCUUUCCCCGCAUCCUGCCGCGAACCGUGCUACCAUUAGCUUGGUGGCGCUGGGGAUCGGCUCGAUUACUUUGAGAAAAAUAGAGUGUUCAAAGCAGGCCACACGCCUUGAAUAAGUUAGCAUGGAAUAAUGACUAAGGACUUCGGUUCUAUUUUGUUGGUGUUCGGGACUGAAGUAAUGAUUGAUAGGGACAGUUGGGGCGGUCUGUAUUCCAAAGCGAGAGGUGAAAUCCUUAGACCUUCGGAAGACAAACAGCUGCGAAAGCGUUCCGCAAGGAUGUUCCCUUUGAUCAAGAACGAAAGUAGGGGGAUCGAAGACGAUCAGAUACCGUCGUAGUCUCAACUAUAAACUAUUACCAGCUAGGGAUCGGUCAACGUUUAAUCAUUCGACUUGAUCGGCACCUUAUGAGAAAUCAAAGCAUCUGGGUUCCGGGGGGAGUAUGGUCGCAAGGCUGAAACUUAAAGGAAUUGACGGAAGGGCACCACCAGCCGUGGAGCCUGUGGCUUAAUUUGACUCAACACGGGAAAACUUACCAGGUCCAGACAUAGUAAGGAUUGACAGAUUGAUAGCUCUUUCUUGAUUCUGUGGGUGGUGGUGCAUGGCCGUUCUUAGUUGGUGGAGUGAUUUGUCUGGUUAAUUCCGUUAACGAACGAGACCCCAGCCUGCUAAAUAGCGCGGCUGAGCUUUGCUCGGUGCGAGCUUCUUAGAGGGACUAUGAUGCGCGAUAGCACAUGGAAGUUUGGGGCAAUAACAGGUCUGUGAUGCCCUUAGAUGUUCUGGGCCGCACACGGGCUACACUGGCGCCUGCAACGAGCAUAUCAGCUGGCCCGAGAGGGUCUUGGCUAAUCUUUUGAACCGGCGCCGUGCUUGGGAUUGACCAUUGCAAUUGUUGGUCAUGCAACGAGGAAUGCCUUGUAAACGCGAGUCAUCAGCUCGCAUUGAAUACGUCCCUGCCCUUUGUACACACCGCCCGUCGCUCCUACCGAUGAAUGUUCCGAUGAAAUUUUCGGAGAGCGCCAGAGAACGGGGCUCCGCCUUGCAGAUCUGGAGGCUCAAAGUCACUUAAAUCUGAACAUUUCGAGGAAGGAGAAGUCGUAACAAGGUAACC